UGGAGUGAUCCUCGCAUUCAGAGCCAGGAGUAAGUCCUUAGUGCUGCCUGGUGUAGUCUUCGAACAAAAAUCCUGUCUUUGCAGGAAUAUAGUAUUUUGUAGAAUUCUCCUGUCUUCAGUGACUUCCAACCCCAAGUUUCAGCCUGGUUUAAUUUUUCCAAAGAGAUUCCUUUGUGGGCAAUGGUGAUUUAAAUUUGGUAAUAUGCUUCAUACUUGGACAUUGAAAGCAAAUUCUUUUAUUCUUCACUGAAUUUAAGAGUGCAGUUUCUUCUUAUUUCAUUUCCCAAAUACAGAGCCCGCCAGUCCGCCUGUUCCACUGAUCCUGUUUCCUGACGCAGGCCUGGUUGUCUGUGUCCUGAGGGGUCGGGGGAUGCUUUCCCAGAAUCCAUCGGGGACUGACAGUGCUCCCGGAAGAAGACAGAGGUGCUGCUUUGAAAACAACAGGCUUCUUGGUGACUUUUCACGCAUCGUCCUCCAGGCAGAAGCCAGAAAAGGUGUGCCUUCCCACUGGAGAGACCAAAGCGCUUGGGAGAAAGAAGGUCUGACUAGAUCCUGGAGAUCAUGGGCAGGAUUUUCUACAGAUGCUGGGCAUUUUUAUUGGUGAUCUGCCUUGGAGGAGAACCGUGCACUCAUUGGAGGCAGAGUCUCUUGCCCCCGUGCCUGACUGUCUUCACCGGGGCCCCUCGGAGCUGGUUGAGUUUCCCUUCUUGUCCUGAGCAGAGCCUCGGCAGCUGAAAACCUUUGGAACUCAGCCACAGCCAUACUCAAGGCCCCUCUCCACACAUUAGGAUGAGCCUCACGCAUGAAGGAACCGGCAGAGGAACCCAGGGCAGAGCCUGAAGUUUGGACAGACUUCUCAUGACUGGUCAAGGGGAUGGAUCUAUGUAUUUCAGUAACAUGGCACGAGGAGUGAAGAGAUAAUCUGGUAUGUCGAAUCAAUCAUUAGUUUAAGAUCCUUC